rnacentral:rRNA from 1 species
AGCGAACGCUGGCGGCAGGCCUAACACAUGCAAGUCGAACGAAGCCUUCGGGCUUAGUGGCGGACGGGUGAGUAACACGUGGGAACGUACCUUCUGGUUCGGAAUAACGCAGAGAACUUUGAGCUAAUACCGGAUGAGCCCUUAGGGGGAAAGAUUUAUCGCCGAAAGAGCGGCCCGCGUUAGAUUAGCUAGUUGGUGAGGUAAAGGCUCACCAAGGCUACGAUCUAUAGCUGGUCUGAGAGGAUGAUAAGCCACACUGGGACUGAGACACGGCCCAGACUCCUACGGGAGGCAGCAGUGGGGAAUCUUGCGCAAUGGGGGAAAGCCUGACGCAGCCAUGCCGCGUGAAUGAUGAAGGUCUUAGGAUUGUAAAAUUCUUUUACCAGGGACGAUAAUGACGGUACCUGGAGAAAAAGCCCCGGCUAACUUCGUGCCAGCCGCCGCCGUAAUAC